UGGGGAAUCUUGCGCAAUGGGGGAAACCCUGACGCAGCGACGCCGCGUGCGGGAUGAAGGCCUUCGGGUUGUAAACCGCUUUCAGCAGGGACGAGGCCUUAUGGUGACGGUACCUGCAGAAGAAGCUCCGGCUAAAUACGUGCCAGCAGCCGCGGUAAUACGUAUGGAGCAAGCGUUAUCCGGAUUCAUUGGGCGUAAAGCGCUCGUAGGCGGUCUGUUAGGUCGGCAAGUUAAAUCCGGGGGCUCAACCCCCGUCCGCUUCCGAUACCGGCAGACUUGAGUUUGGUAGGGGAAAGUGGAAUUCCUAGUGUAGCGGUGGAAUGCGCAGAUAUUAGGAAGAACACCGGUGGCGAAGGCGGCCUUCUGGGCCAUAACUGACGCUGAGGAGCGAAAGCUAGGGGAGCGAACAGG
rnacentral:rRNA from 1 species